CACUGAGCAGUUUGUAAUAUUUUGAAAGUAGGAUAGAAUCACAAUAUCUCGUCAGAAGCAGCCCACAUGGAUCACUGAGACUUGGCUACACACAUGAUUACCUGACACAUAGAGGUUUCAUUUCUGAGCCUGCAGACCAUACAGAAUGGAAAAGACCUCCAUUUGAAAUGAUAAGAAUGAGAGUAACUCUUAUUUCUAUGUAUGGGAGACUGAUCUGUAUUUAUACAUUUUUAAUGGGGACAGUGCUGCUAUGAUUGAAGGAACAGAAUCCCAUAACUCAGACUGACCCCACAGAACUGGAGGCACUCAGCCUAUUCUCAUUACUUUUCCUUCGAUCAUCACUAUACGAAGUUUGGCUGAGCACAAAUUAAAUCUGCAGCUCCAGCUUUUAGCUCUUCACUGAGUGAUAAUUCUCCACUGCAGAGAAAGACACCAGACAGCAUCAGUUUUUGGCUUACGACGCUGCUGUGGUCCACGCCUGCUUCAGUAGCAUGGCCAACAGAAGGCUCUGCAGCCUGUGACUAGCUCUGAGACUAUGAAUAGGAGGUGUUUCCUGCAGGCCAGCUACAGCAUCGCUAUUAGAAAGCCUCAGCCACAAGUGAAGAAUACAGGCCAGACUGAAAGCAAUGACUUGCUGGUGACUGAUCUCAGCUGAUGGGGGAAAAAAUGACUCCUCAGUGAACUGGGCUAGCUCCCAGAAAAAGAAUCCAUUGCUUUGGAAAAGAGAUUAAUGAAGUACAUUCAGCAGAUCUGCUGGCCACUGGACAGCAGUUUGUACUGCAGCCACCGGAUGAGGCAUUUUGUUGUGUCACUGGAUUAUUUAUAUCUUCCGUUGACUAGCACAUUGGUUUCCCUAAAACAGAAAAUGUCUAAAUGCUCCUGUACGGAAAAAAAGAUGUCAAGAGAUGUACAAACGGGCAGCCUGGCUUUUUGGAAAGUGUUGGGUGAGCAAUUUCCCUCAAGAUAGGAUGCAAGUGCAGCAAUAAAGGUACGUAUUGGAAGGUGUCUGUUGUGUUGGUAAGAGUUAGGCAACCCAGAGACAAGGAGAGAAAGUGGGAGCUGAUCCUGUUCCUGCUGAGACUUCUGGGAGAAAUAUUGCUGGAUUUCAGUACGGACAGUUGUGCUGGAUGAAUAUGCUUAUCUAGAAAUAAAACCCUGUUUUCUGAGUAAUUUUUUUUCCUAUCAGAAGUCCAAUAUGUGGAAAUUAAUUUCUAAAAUAAGGAUUGGAGUAUCAGCUAUGAUCUAAUUUAAUAACUUGAGGAUAUGCAAAGCACCCUACAAAUGUUAAUGAACUAAUCACCCAGCAGACUUCUGGGGUGAGAAAAAUGUGAUCUCUGUGUUACAAAUGGGAAACUGGGGCACAGAAAAGAUCAAAGAUUUAGAUUAGCCCUUUAGUUCUGUUCAUAAUUAAUACACUUACCAUGUACAAAAUUAGCCAGUUAAAAAAAGAAAAUGAUGUAGAACUGUUAGCUGCAGAAGUCAGAGAAACUAUUUUAUUAAGCAAUUAUAUAGAUCUCCAAACCUUUCACCUCUGAGCAUAAAUAACGAUUUAGGGGCAUCAAAUCAACUUCUUUUCCUUGUGGCUAAUAUUAUUUUCCAUCCUCUUACACUUCUCAGGUGCCAAAAUAAUGAAGUGGUGAUACUGUUUUCGUUACAAAAUCCUGAAGAGAACAGAACAAAAAAACUAAUGUGCUCAAAAUAAAUCUUGACAUUACCAUGUGUUACAUUAAAAUUGAUUAGAUUAAGGAUCUUGCACAUCAUUUUCAUGGUCUUUACAGCAGCAUAAUUCCACUGCCUUUAGCCUAGUACCUCCUGAUUUAUACUAGUGUGUGUGAAGUUGGGCUGUACUUGUAAUUUGAUUCCAUGUAUGCAGCUUUCAGCUGCAAUUUUUCACACCCUUCAUGAAGGUUACACAUAAUCCUGGCUGCCACCAUCCAAGUGGGAGCUUACCAGAAUAGAAUAGGGCAAAGGAUGACUUUGUGUAGCUCAUGUAAUCCAGUCUGUAGUUACUUGGUAUGAUAUUUUUCUUUAUGAUGAUUACAUGACAAUGCUGAAUAAAGAUUUGAUCUGAAAUAUUUCAGCCUUUAGGGUCCAUUUUUUUGUUGUUUGAGAAGCCUUUUCCCCCUUGUUCUCAAAAGAUCUUCUAGAUACCUUGUGACCAUGCAGUUAUUAAGGCCCAGUAUACAAACUAUAGUUUUCCAGAAAGAAUUUGCAGUUCAAUGGAAAAAUGUUUAGUAAUGGGAUAAAAUUAAUGUUGCAUCAGUGAGUAAAAAUGAGAUCAAACACAAAUGUGUGCUAGUUCCUACCUGGUUAUGCAUUAGCAAUUUUAUUUGUCCUGAGAUGUUUUCAUUUCUCGCUAAAAUAAUGUGGGAUAACAGUUACUGCUAAUCCUUUCAAAAAUACAUUCCUUCCUUACCAGCACUCCCUUUACAAUGAGAAUUUCCCUGUUUCCCUGGAGAUUCUCCUCUCAUCCAUGCUGUGGGGUUAAUCCUGGAAUCCUCAUUCAGACAAAAAAAAUAAAAAAGCAUUAACCUUCCUGGAAUAUUUCCCUGGGCUUUGAGAAAAGUCUGAGGAUCUAGCUUUUAAGUUUAUAGGGAAUCUUUCCUCUUUCAUUUACAAUGGUGCUGUAUUAGCAUGUCUUAGUAAUGCUUAACUUCAAUGCUUUGACUUUUAAUUUGAAACAUGGCUAUUAAGGUGAUAAAGAAAGGUACUGCUAGUUUUCUGGAAUGUCCUCAAUAGUUUUGAGAGGUAUUACAUUUUCUCCAGUAUUGAGUAUUUUAGUGCUC